GACGAACGCUGGCGGCGUGCCUAAUACAUGCAAGUUGAGCGCUGAAGGUUGGUACUUGUACCAACUGGAUGAGCAGCGAACGGGUGAGUAACGCGUGGGGAAUCUGCCUUUGAGCGGGGGACAACAUUUGGAAACGAGUGCUAAUACCGCAUAAAAACUUUAAACACAAGUUUUAAGUUUGAAAGAUGCAAUUGCACCACUCAAAGAUGAUCCCGCGUUGUAUUAGCUAGUUGGUGAGGUAAAGGCUCACCAAGGCGAUGAUACAUAGCCGACCUGAGAGGGUGAUCGGCCACAUUGGGACUGAGACACGGCCCAAACUCCUACGGGAGGCAGCAGUAGGGAAUCUUCGGCAAUGGACGAAAGUCUGACCGAGCAACGCCGCGUGAGUGAAGAAGGUUUUCGGAUCGUAAAACUCUGUUGGUAGAGAAGAACGUUGGUGAGAGUGGAAAGCUCAUCAAGUGACGGUAACUACCCAGAAAGGGACGGCUAACUACGUG
rnacentral:rRNA from 1 species